GGCGCUGUAGAACAGUGGUUAGUUCGGGGGGCUCUCAAUCCCCAAACAGGAGUUCAAUUCUCCUCGGCGCUACCA
rnacentral:tRNA from 5 species